GUCAGCUAGCUGUUCCUCGUGAAUAUAUAAUCUGGUCACGGCACGCAUCAAAUUAUUGAUACAGCAGCAUCAGCACCGGAAGAAAAGUAAACCCUAAGUAAGAUGCCGAAGAAGAUGGGGGUGAACACCAAGGCGGAGGCAGCGAGGGCGCGUAAGAGCGCGGCGGAAACGGAGCGCAAGGAGAAGGAGACUCGACAAAAGGAGGAUCAGUACUGGCAAGAUGCCGAGGGCUCCAAGUCACGAGCCGCAAAGAAGAAGGAGGAAGAGGCCGAAAAGAGGGCCGAAGCAGCCGCACGUCGGGCGGAGGCGCGUAGGUUGGCGGAGCAGGAGGAGAAGGAGCUGGAGAAGGCGAUGAAAAAGGUGGACAAGAAGGCGAACCGGGUAUCGAUACCCGUGCCGAAGGUGACGGAGGUGGAGCUGAGGCGGCGGCGGGAAGAGGAGCAGGCGGAGGCUGAGAGGAAGGCGGAGGAGGUGAAGAAGCGGCAGAGUCGCACUGCUGCAGAGGAUGAGUACGAGAGAAUGGUUCUGGUGUCCAACACUAAUCGCGACGAUUCUAUCAUCGAAGCGAGAUCUUUGGAUGAUGCCAUCGCUCAGAUGACCAUCGCCGACAACUUGCCCCCCGAUCGCCAUCCCGAGAGGCGCCUCAAGGCCUCCUUCAAGGCAUUCGAAGAAGCCGAACUUCCUAAGCUGAAAGAAGAGAAACCGGGUCUUACUCAUAAUCAGUACAAGGACUUGAUAUGGAAGCUAUGGAAGAAAUCUCCUGACAAUCCUCUUAAUCAAGUUGCAGAGUGAAUGAUCAGCUGCAGCUGGAUUGUAACCGAAUGCAACACCCUCUUCGAGUGGGCAUUGUCAUGGCGUGGUGGAUCCAUUUCUAGUUGAGUAUCAAAUUGUUCACCUUCUGGACAUGCACAGACAUUGUUGCCAUCAACUUUGAAUUGGACUGCUCUGCUCGUGAUAAGGGGUUUCUAAACUACAUUGUAUUUAAAUUCAACAAAUUAUGGUACUGGAUGCUUGCAGAAACAAAUGGGUUUGUGGCAUCUCGUAGAUAUUGAAUAUGGAUUUCAAACAAAUAGUUAUUAUAUCCUAUCGAUCUUCUCACUCGUCCCUGCAAAUUGUCUGACUAUCCCUGCAUUUGUAAGUCACAUUGCUCGCAGUGCAACAACAAACAAAGCUAGUAACCUUUAGAAUUUAGGGCAACUUAUGUAGGUUUUUUGAAGUGUACAUGUUCUGUUAUCAUCCUUCAGUCCACAAUUUGAUGUUGCAGCGAUAACUACAUUGACGCAACUUUCAAUUGAGAUAAUCUUGGGUUGCGUCUUAAUUGAUGGUCCAUCUGGUUGGAUUUUGACGAUUGCUUUAUCUACUUGAUCGUCUUGGAUUGUACUCUGGGGCUUUCUUUGUUCAAUAACCCAACGCAAGAAAAUUAUGAUAGCUAAAUGUCAAAUAGGAUUUCCCUAAUAGCUAUUUAUGAAUAUAUAAUAUGAACAAGAUUCUCAUGUGGUAAGAAAUGAUAAAUCCUGUUCAUAUCCUAACCUGUUCGACAUGUAACCGUCGUAUUUCUCUUGGUUGAGUUUUGAAUAAAGUCUGGAUAGCACAACCCCAAGAUAAUCAAGCAACAAAGGGUUCGAUCAUCAAUUAAGAUGCAUCAUCAACUUGGUCAGAGAAUCUAUGUUUGUGUCUUAUUUGAAAGUUGCUUUACACAGCUACCGUAGGAACUUAAAGUCUUGGAAUGAAGGAUGAUAACAUAGAGAACAUGGGCACAUAGUUGCUUAUUGUCAUGGAUUGUAGUAGGUAUUUGCUUUACUGCAUUAGGCAUCAUUAAUAUGGUUUUAAUAUGGAUAAAAUUUUGAUAAAGUAGUCGAGCUUUUGUUUGAAAGUAGUGUAGCAAUAUCAUCUUUGUUAAUAUUGUUCAUUUAUAUUGGAUUAAGUUAAAGCAGUUCCUACUCUCGGUGUUUUAAUACUACGUGAGGAGGAUAAGAGUUACUUCCCAACUCUUUGGGAACUAGUGUUAUGAUUUACAUAUGCAAGGAUAGUGGCAUGAGUUGCAGUAACAAGUGGAACAUCACUGAGGAAAUAUUGUUUGAAAUCAAUAUAGUAUUUACGAGAUGUCACAAACACGUGAAUCAAGUACCUGGGGGCAGGAAUAGGAAGACCCACGCAAGGUGGGUGGGUUUCCUUUAAGGCUCAGAACCUGUCUAAUUUUGUGAUAGGGUUUCUCUUUAAAAAGUUACUACUCAUGGUCACAUUUUUCAAUCUCAGUUUGAUCCAAUAAUGGCGAUUUUCCAAUUCGCAAUAUUCUUAAAUAUUUUAGGAUCAUAUCCCCAUUAUGAAAAUUUGACGCUAUGAACUUAAUGCUACAGGUUGAUGACAAUUCCGUGAGCAUAUAAAAAGA